CAGAGUCACUGCAUCUAGAAAGGCUCCAGACAGCUCUCUGGGGUCUUCGGGUGCACAUAACAUGCAAAGAAAAAUAGAAAGAUAAUCCCUGUCCUCAAGCAGCUUACAGUCUAACAGGGAGAGAACCUGCAAAUAACUAUGUGUGAACAGGCUCUCGGAAAGGAGGUGAGCCUUGGGCGAAGGAGAAGCACCCCCAUCCCGGUUUCAUUACUGAUUCCACAACAAGGGAUGGAAAGCAAGGAAUGCUGGGGGUUUGGAGAGUGGAGACGUGGAAGGUGGAGGACCGGCAGAAGGCUGAUGAGGAAACCGAGGUCACCUUGUAAUGAACCCUUUCAACCGUGACAUUAAAUGAAGCUUCAGAGCCCUCAGACCUAAAGGGGGAAGAGAACUUCAUUUGGACAGAAGAGACCCAGAGUUGUGGAUUUUUCUAAGCACUGAUGAUUCCAGGAAAAGCCCUCAAGGACCUUCCAUCUAAUGGGGAGACAAAAUGUAUGUAAUUAGGUACAUUCAUCCUUCAGCCAUGGAGCCCUCGGAGGGGGAAAGGCCAGCUUGGGGGCAAGCAGGAGAUGGACCCAGUGUUGGGCUUUGUCCAAGGUCACCCAGUAAUCAUCCCCACAUGAGGAUGAGUCCUGAGGUUAUUUUGUGGCUGUAGUUUGCCACCUCUAUGUUUGCUUUUCUCUUUGCUUAUUUAUUUAUUUGUUUGUUUAUUUGUACAUUCU